rnacentral:rRNA from 1 species
CCCUUAGAUGUUCUGGGCCGCGCGCGCGCUACACUGAAGGGAUCAGCGUGUUUUCCCUUUCCGAGAGGAACGGGUAACCCGCUGAACCCCCUUCGUGGUAGGGAUCGGAGCUUGCAAUUGUUCUCCGUGAACCAGGAAUUCCCAGUAAGCGCAAGUCAUAAGCUUGCGUUGAUUACGUCCCUGCCCUUUGUACACACCGCCCGUCGCUACUACCGAUUGAACGUUUUAGUGAGGUAUUUGGACUGGGCCUUGGGAGGUUUCGGCCUCCCUUGUUGCUCGGAAAGACUCCCAAACUUGAGCGUUUAGAGGAAGUAAAAGUCGUAACA